UACAGAGGUCUCAAGCGUUGUUCGGAUUCAUUGGGCGUAAAGGGUGCGUAGGCGGCGCGGUAAGUCGGGUGUGAAAUCGAGCUUAACUCCGAAACUGCAUUCGAUACUGCCGUGCUUGAGGACUGGAGAGGAGACUGGAAUUUACGGUGUAGCAGUGAAAUGCGUAGAUAUCGUAAGGAAGACCAGUGGCGAAGGCGAAUCUCUGGACAGUUACUGACACUGAGGCACGAAGGCCAGGGGAGCAAACGGG
rnacentral:rRNA from 1 species